CACGUAGGGGCCAAGCGUUGUCCGGAUUUAUUGGGCGUAAAGAGCUCGUAGGCGGUUCGACAAGUCGGGUGUGAAAACUCCGGGCUCAACCCGGAGACGCCACCCGAUACUGUCGUGACUGGAGUCCGGUAGGGGAGUGGGGAAUUCCUGGUGUAGCGGUGAAAUGCGCAGAUAUCAGGAAGAACACCCGUGGCUAAGGCGGCUCUCUAGUACGGUACUGACGCUGAGACGCGAAAGCGUGGGGAGCGAACAGG
rnacentral:rRNA from 1 species